rnacentral:tRNA from 1 species
GACUAGAGAGCUUGUAUAUAAGCAUUCGACUUUUAAUCGAAAGAAAGUAAUACUUCUAGUCA